AGAAUCAACGCUGGCGGCGUGCCUAACACAUGCAAGUCGAACGAGAAAGUGGAGCAAUCCAUGAGUAAAGUGGCGCACGGGUGAGUAACACGUGACUAACCUACCCUUGAGUUGGGAAUAACCUAGGGAAACCUGGGCUAAUACCGCAUAACACCUACGGGUCAAAGGAGCAAUUCGCUUAAGGAGGGGGUCGCGGCAGAUUAGCUAGUUGGCGGGGUAAUGGCCCACCAAGGCAGUGAUCUGUAUCCGGCCUGAGAGGGCGCACGGACACACUGGAACUGAAACACGGUCCAGACUCCUACGGGAGGCAGCAGUGGGAAUUUUGCGCAAUGGGGGAAACCCUGACGCAGCAACGCCGCGUGGAGGAUGAAGUCCCUUGGGACGUAAACUCCUUUCGACCGGGAAGAUUAUGACGGUACCGGAAGAAGAAGCCCCGGCUAACUUCGCGCCAGCAGCCGC
rnacentral:rRNA from 1 species